UGAGUUUUUUACGUAAUUUUUAAUUGGUAGGCAUUUUGUGGAUAAUAUCGAUAGACUAAACAGAAAUGCUUGAAUAUUUGACAAAAGGUUUAUUAUAAGUCAUACCAUAUGUGAACAAAUUACGGCCUUUUAAAACAUGUAUAAUGGAACUUCGCUCAGAAUCUUUUUUUGUUAACAAUGAUUUAUUGUUGAUUAAGGAUAUAAAUUAAAUAAUUAAAUAAUUUAUCCUAUCUUAUCAAUUUCCCACCUGC